GCCGGUGUGGCGGAAUGGCAGACGCGGAGCACUCAAAAUGCUUUGCCGAAAGGCGUGUGGGUUCGAGUCCCACCACCGGCA
rnacentral:tRNA from 1 species